rnacentral:rRNA from 1 species
AACGAACGCUGGCGGCAUGCCUAACACAUGCAAGUCGAACGAGAUCUUCGGGUCUAGUGGCGCACGGGUGCGUAACGCGUGGGAAUCUGCCCUUUGGUUCGGAAUAACAGUUGGAAACGACUGCUAAUACCGGAUGAUGACGAAAGUCCAAAGAUUUAUCGCCAGAGGAUGAGCCCGCGUAGGAUUAGCUAGUUGGUGUGGUAAAGGCGCACCAAGGCGACGAUCCUUAGCUGGUCUGAGAGGAUGAUCAGCCACACUGGGACUGAGACACGGCCCAGACACCUACGGGAGGCAGCAGUGGGGAAUAUUGAACAAUGGGCGAAAGCCUGAUCCAGCAAUGCCGCGUUAGUGAUGAAGGCCUUAGGGUUGUAAAGCUCUUUUACCCGGGAUGAUAAUGACAGUACCGGGAAAAUAAGCUCCGGCUAACUCCGUGCCAGCCGCCGCCGUAA